AUUGAACGCUGGCGGCAUGCUUUACACAUGCAAGUCGAACGGUAACAGGCCGCAAGGUGCUGACGAGUGGCGAACGGGUGAGUAAUGCAUCGGAACGUGCCCAGUCGUGGGGGAUAACGCAGCGAAAGCUGCGCUAAUACCGCAUACGAUCUAUGGAUGAAAGCGGGGGACCGUAAGGCCUCGCGCGAUUGGAGCGGCCGAUGUCAGAUUAGGUAGUUGUUGAGGUAAAGGCUCACCAAGCCAACGAUCUGUAGCUGGUCUAAGAGGACGACCAGCCACACUGGGACUGAGACACGGCCCAGACUCCUACGGGAGGCAGCAGUGGGGAAUUUUGGACAAUGGGCGCAAGCCUGAUCCAGCAAUGCCGCGUGCAGGAAGAAGGCCUUCGGGUUGUAAACUGCUUUUGUACGGAACGAAACGGCUCUCACUAAUACUGGGGGCUAAUGACGGUACCGUAAGAAUAAGCACCGGCUAACUACGUGCCAGCCGCCGCCGUAAUAC
rnacentral:rRNA from 1 species